UACAGAGGUCUCAAGCGUUGUUCGGAAUCACUGGGCGUAAAGGGUGUGUAGGCUGCGUGCUAAGUCAGAUGUGAAAGCCCGGGGCUCAACCUCGGAACUGCAUCCGAUACUGGCAUGCUGGAGAACUGGAGAGGAGUCUAGAAUUCACGGUGUAGCAGUGAAAUGCGUGGAUAUCGUGAGGAAUACCAAAUGCGAAGGCAGGACUCUGGACAUUUUCUGACGCUGAGACACGAAGGCCAGGGGAGCAAACGGG
rnacentral:rRNA from 1 species